CUACGGGAUGCUGCAGUGGGGAAUAUUGGACAAUGGGGGAAACCCUGAUCCAGCAAUGCCGCGUGUGUGAAGAAGGCCUGCGGGUUGUAAAGCACUUUCGGUUGGGAGGACUGCUUCUAGCACUAAUAUUGUUGGAAGUUGACGUUACCUUCAGAAGAAGCACCGGCUAACUCCGUGCCAGCAGCCGCGGUAAUACGGAGGGUGCAAGCGUGUAAUCGGAAUUACUGGGCGUAAAGCGCGCGUAGGCGGCUAGAUCAGUCGGGUGUGAAAGCCCCGGGCUUAACCUGGGAACUGCAUCCGAUACUGUCUAGCUUGAGUACAGGAGAGGAGAGUGGAAUUCCACAUGUAGCGGUGAAAUGCGUAGAUAUGUGGAGGAAUACCAAUGGCGAAGGCAGCUCUCUGGCCUGAUACUGACGCUGAGGUGCGAAAGCGUGGGGAGCAAACAGGAUUAGAUACCCCCGUAGUC
rnacentral:rRNA from 1 species